rnacentral:rRNA from 1 species
UUGACUGUGCUAAGGUAGCAUAAUAAAUUGGCUUUUAAUUGAAGUCGGGAAUGAAAGGGUGUUUGGAGUUAUUCUGUCUUAUUUUUAUUUUUUAAAAAUUACUAAUGGGGUGAAAAUUCCCCAAUAUUUUUUGAUAGACGAGAAGACCCUAAGAGUUAUUACAAUUAAUUAAGAGAAUUAAUAAAAGUUUUUGUUGGGGCAACAACUUUGGAAAUAAAACCAAAGUUAAAAAUUUAUUUUAAACAUAAAAAUUAUAUUAAAAAUGAAUUUAACUACCUUAGGGAUAACAGCAUAAUUAUAUUUUAGAUUGUGACCUCGAUGUUGGAUUAAGGCCU